UACAGAGGGGCAAGCGUUAUUCGGAAUUAUGGCGUAAAGGGCGCGUAGGCGGCUGCGAAGUGGAUCGGUGAAAUCCCUCGGCUCAACCGAGGAACGUCGAUCGAUACUGCUGUUCUUGAGGAUUGCAGAGGAGACUGGAAUUCCCGGUGUAGCGGUGAAAUGUGUAGAGAUCGGGAGGAACACCGGUGGCGAAGGCGGGUCUCUGGGCAAUUCCUGACGCUGAGGCGCGAAAGCGUGGGGAGCAAACGGG
rnacentral:rRNA from 1 species